AAAUUGAAGAGUUUGAUCAUGGCUCAGAUUGAACGCUGGCGGCAGGCCUAACACAUGCAAGUCGAACGGUAACAGGAAGCAGCUUGCUGCUUCGCUGACGAGUGGCGGACGGGUGAGUAAUGUCUGGGAAACUGCCUGAUGGAGGGGGAUAACUACUGGAAACGGUAGCUAAUACCGCAUAACGUCACAAGACCAAAGAGGGGGACCUUCGGGCCUCUUGCCAUCGGAUGUGCCCAGAUGGGAUUAGCUUGUUGGUGGGGUAACGGCUCACC
rnacentral:rRNA from 1 species